AGGGGUAUAAGCUAAGUGGUAAACUGCCGGUCUCCAAAACCAGCAUUGGAGGUUCAAGUCCUUCUACCCCUG
rnacentral:tRNA from 1 species